UUUUUUUUUUGAGAGGGAGCCUUGCUCUGUUGCCCAGGCUGGAGUGCAGUGGCACAAUCUCAGCUCACUGCAACCCCUAUCUCCCAGGUUCAAGCCUCAGCCUUCUGUAUAGCUGGGACUACAGGUGUGCGCCACCACACCCAGCUAGUUUUUGUAUUUUUUAGUAGAGACAGAAUUUCACUAUAUGUUGGCCAGGCUGGUCUCGAACUCCUGACCUCAGCUGAUCCACCUGCCUCGGCCUCCCAAAGUGCUGGGAUUACAGACGUGAGCCACCACGCCCGGCUGGAAUCAUUCAUUUCUUUUGAAGUGGGUAUCUUAUGGUAUUUUAGGGCAUGGCUGGGAGCAGUUUUGUUUUCUCUUCUCAAUACUGAGUUUUUGCAGGAUGUCAUAGAGUUCAUGUCUGCAGCUCACAGUGUCAUUGCCUGUGUCCCCAGCUCCACGUACUGGCAGGUGUGCUGCAAGCUGGGCAGGUGCCCUGUGUCCCUGGGAUACCUUACCCGACACUCCUGGCCCUCCUCUGCAAGCCGUGCCCUGAUCCUCCCUGCAAGGACUGGGGAUUGGGUCUGCUCACCCAGAAGCCGGGAUACCUGGCUGAGGGCACUUCUCUCCCUCUUCUCUUUGAACAGAGUGGCCACGAACUCAAAGGUGCGGGAGCAAGUGCGGCUGGAGCUGAGCUUCGUUAACUCAGACCUGCAGAUGCUCAAGGAAGAGCUGGAGGGGCUGAACAUCUCGGUGGGCGUCUAUCAGAACACAGAGGAGGCAUUUACGAUUCCCCUGAUUCCUCUUGGCCUGAAGGAAACGAAAGACGUCGACUUUUCAGUUGUCCUCAAGGAUUUUAUCCUGGAACAUUACAGUGAAGAUGGCUAUUUAUAUGAAGAUGAAAUUGCAGAUCUUAUGGAUCUGAGACAAGUAUGACUCUCUCACUGGGGUUCCGGUCAGCCAGCAGAACCUGCUGCUGGAGAAGGCCAGUGUCCUGUUCAACACUGGGGCCCUCUACACCCAGAUCGGGACCCGGUGCGAUCGGCAGACGCAGGCUGGGCUGGAGAGUGCCAUAGAUGCCUUUCAGAGAGCCGCAGGGGUUUUAAACUACCUGAAAGAGACAUUUACCCAUACUCCAAGUUAUGACAUGAGCCCUGCCAUGCUCAGCGUGCUCGUCAAAAUGAUGCUUGCACAAGCCCAAGAAAGCGUGUUUGAGAAAAUCGGCCUUCCUGGGAUCCGGAAUGAAUUCUUCAUGCUGGUGGGGGUGGCUCAGGAGGCUGCCCAGGUGGGAGAGGUCUACCAACAGCUGCACGCAGCCAUGAGCCAGGCGCCGGUGAAAGAGAACAUCCCCUACUCCUGGGCCAGCUUAGCCUGCGUGAAGGCCCACCACUACGCGGCCCUGGCCCACUACUUCACUGCCAUCCUCCUCAUCGACCACCAGGUGAAGCCAGGCACGGAUCUGGACCACCAGGAGAAGUGCUUGUCCCAGCUCUACGACCACAUGCCAGAGGGGCUGACACCCUUGGCCACACUGAAGAAUGAUCAGCAGCGCCGACAGCUGGGGAAGUCCCACCUGUGCAGAGCCAUGGCUCAUCACGAGGAGUCGGUGCGGGAGGCCAGCCUCUGCAAGAAGCUGCGGAGCAUUGAGGUGCUACAGAAGGUGCUGUGUGCGGCACAGGAACGCUCCCGGCUCACGUACGCCCGGCACCAGGAGGAUGAUGACCUGCUGAACCUGAUGGACGCCCCCAGUGUUGUUGCUAAAACUGAGCAAGAGGUUGACAUUAUAUUGCCCCAGUUUUCCAAGCUGACAGUCACGGACUUCUUCCAGAAGCUGGGCCCCUUAUCUGUGUUUUCGGCUAACAAGCGGUGGACGCCUCCUCGAAGCAUCCGCUUCACCGCAGAAGAAGGGGACUUGGGGUUCACCUUGAGAGGGAACGCCCCCGUUCAGGUUCACUUCCUGGAUCCUUACUGCUCUGCCUCGGUGGCAGGAGCCCGGGAAGGAGAUUAUAUUGUCUCCAUUCAGCUUGUGGAUUGUAAGUGGCUGACGGUGAGUGAGGUUAUGAAGCUGCUGAAGAGCUUUGGCGAGGACGAGAUCGAGAUGAAAGUCGUGAGCCUCCUGGACUCCACAUCAUCCAUGCAUAAUAAGAGUGCCACAUACUCCGUGGGAAUGCAGAAAACGUACUCCAUGAUCUGCUUAGCCAUUGAUGAUGACGACAAAACUGAUAAAACCAAGAAAAUCUCCAAGAAGCUUUCCUUCCUGAGUUGGGGCACCAACAAGAACAGACAGAAGUCAGCCAGCACCUUGUGCCUCCCAUCGGUCGGGGCUGCACGGCCUCAGGUCAAGAAGAAGCUGCCCUCCCCUUUCAGCCUUCUCAACCCAGACAGUUCUUUGUACUAAUGUGAGGAAACAAACACGUUCAGGCCCCGAACAUUUCCGGUGCUGACUCGGCCUUAAACGUUUGUGCCAUAAUGGAAAAUAUCUAUUCUCAAAUCCUGUUUUUCUCAUAGUGUAAACUCACAUUUGAUGUGUUUUUAUGAAGGAAAGUAACCAAGAAACCUCUAGGAGUUAGUGAAAAAAACCUUUUUUGAGGCGUGUUACUAUACUGCUGUAAGUUAUUUAUUAUAUAAAGUAUUGUAAAUAGAAUAGUGUUGAAGAUAUGAAAUACGGCCGUUUUUAAUGGUGACAAUUAUGACUUUUAGUCACUAUUAAAUUGGGGUUACCUAUAUUAGUACAAUUUGUAGUUGUUUCCAGGUUUGGCUAAUAAUCAUUCCUUAACCUAGAAUUCAGAUGAUCCUGGAAUUAAGGCAGGUCAGAGGACUAUAAUGAUAGAAUUAAAUUAGUGUCACUAAAAACUGUUCCAAAGUGCUGCUUCCUAAUAGGAAUUCAUUAACCUAAAACAAGAUGUUACUAUUAUAUCGAUAUACUAUGAAUGCUAUUUCUAGAAAAAGUCUAGUGCCAAAUUUGUCUUAUUAAAUAAAAACAAUGUAGGAGCAGCUUUUCUUCUAGUUUGAUGUCAUUUAAGAAUUGCCAACACAGUGGCAGUGUUAGAUGAAGAUGCUGUCUACAAGGUAGAUAAUAUACUGUUUGAUACUCAAAACAUUUUUCAUUUUGUUUAAAGUAGAAGUUACAUAAUUCUAUAUUUUAAGUCUUGGGUAAAAAAGUAGUUUUACAUUUUAUAAAGUAAAGAUGUAAAUGAUUCAGGUUUAAAGCUCUAUUUGACUUUUUUUUUGUUGUUUGAGAUAGAGUCUUGCUCUGUUGCCCAGGCUGGAGUGCAGUGGUGCGAUCUCAGCUCAGUGCAACCUCUGCCCCCUGGGAUCAAGCGAUUCUCCUACCUCAGCCUCCCAAGUAGCUGGGACUACAGGUGCCCUCCAGCAUGCCUGGCUAAUUUUUGUAUUUUUAGUAGAGGUGAGGUUUCACCAUGUUGGCCAGGCUGGUUUCGAAAUCCUGACCUCAAAUGAUCCACCCACCUCAGCCUCCCAAAGUGCUGGGAUUACAGGCAUGAGCCACCACGCCCGUCCCACUAUUUUACUUUUUAAAAUGACAUUCCUACUGAUUGAUUUUUAUCUUGCUAUAAGUUGGAUGACACCGUGAAUCUAAUAAGGUUCACUGUUGACACAGUACAAGUUACAUAGCUAAAAUACAUAGCAUUGAAGACUAAUUUUAAGGAUUAACAAGAGUUUAUUUUCUAUUGUGCAAUAUCUUAAAGGAAGCAACCACCUUUGGGAAAGUGUAUCUGCUGCUCCUAGGGCCAUGUUUGUAUAAAUAUUUAAAUAAACAUAUUCAUUUACCCG
rnacentral:sRNA from 1 species